rnacentral:misc_RNA from 1 species
AACAUCGCGCACCUGCGGGAACCUGCGGAAGGAUCAUUACAGAGUUGCAAAACUCCCUAAACCAUUGUGAACGUUACCUAAACCGUUGCUUCGGCGGGCGGCCCGGGUCCUUCCCGGCGCCCAUCGGCCCUCGCGGGCGCCCGCCGGAGGCAAACCAAACUAUUGCAUUGUAUGGCCUCUCUGAGUCUUCUGUACUGAAUAAGUCAAAACUUUCAACAAUGGAUCUCAGAUCGGAAGAGC